rnacentral:rRNA from 1 species
UACGUAGGGUGCGAGCGUUAAUCGGAAUUACUGGGCGUAAAGCGUGCGCAGGCGGCGCGUUAAGACAGGUGUGAAAGCCCCGAGCUUAACUUGGGAAUUGCGCUUGUGACUGGCGUGCUGGAGUGUGGCAGAGGGAGGUGGAAUUCCACGUGUAGCAGUGAAAUGCGUAGAGAUGUGGAGGAACACCAGUGGCGAAGGCGACUUUCUGGCCUAUAACUGACGCUGAGGCGCGAAAGCGUGGGGAGCAAACAGG